rnacentral:rRNA from 1 species
AUUCCAGCUCCAAUAGCGUAUAUUAAAGUUGUUGCGGUUAAAAAGCUCGUAGUUGGAUUUCUGCUGAGGAUGACUGGUCCGCCCUCUGGGUGAGUAUCUAGCCUAUCCUUGGCAUCUUCCUGAAGAACGUAGCUGCACUUGACUGUGUGGUGCGGUAUUUAGGACAUUUACUUUGAGGAAAUUAGAGUGUUUCAAGCAAGCGCACGCCUUGAAUACAUUAGCAUGGAAUAAUAAGAUAGGACCUUGGUUCUAUUUUGUUGGUUUCUAGAGCUGAAGUAAUGAUUGAUAGGGAUAGUUGGGGGUGCUAGUAUUGAGCGGCCAGAGGUGAAAUUCUUGGAUUCGCUCAAGACUAACUUAUGCGAAAGCAUUCACCAAGGAUGUCUUCAUCA